rnacentral:rRNA from 1 species
UACGGGGGGAGCAAGCGUUGUUCGGAUUUACUGGGCGUAAAGGGCGCGUAGGCGGCCACCGCAAGUCGGUUGUGAAAUCUCUGGGCUUAACCCAGAAAGGUCAAUCGAUACUGCGGGGCUAGAGUGCAGAAGGGGCAACUGGAAUUCUCGGUGUAGCGGUGAAAUGCGUAGAGAUCAGGAAGAACAUCGGUGGCGAAGGCGCUCUGCUGGACCAUAACUGACACUCAGGGACGAAAGCUAGGGGAGCGAAUGGG